GUGGGGAAGCAGAAAGGAAAGACACAUAGAAAUAGGGGAGAUAUUCAUCAAGAUAGUCAUAGCCCUGAAAUUCUCACACUUUAUUAAAGCAAUUCUUCCCUUUGUAUUAGACCAGGAUAAAUACAGACAGACUUAGGUCCCUGCCACCCCUUGGGAGAUCGUUCAGGACACCCCGUUUGAAGCCCUAAAUUCUGACAUGUUGGAUUGGUUACAAGACCGCCUCUUCCGAGAGGCAGAAGUGAGUUUCACUCCCACCCACGCUCAGGAUGUUAAGACAUUUGCAGAAUGAUUUGUUCUGGAC
rnacentral:lncRNA from 1 species